rnacentral:rRNA from 1 species
CAGCGCCACGGUAAUACAGAGGGUGCGAGCGUUAAUCGGAUUUACUGGGCGUAAAGCGUGCGUAGGCGGCUUUUUAAGUCGGAUGUGAAAUCCCUGAGCUUAACUUAGGAAUUGCAUUCGAUACUGGGAAGCUAGAGUAUGGGAGAGGAUGGUAGAAUUCCAGGUGUAGCGGUGAAAUGCGUAGAGAUCUGGAGGAAUACCGAUGGCGAAGGCAGCCAUCUGGCCUAAUACUGACGCUGAGGUACGAAAGCAUGGGGAGCAAACAGGAUUAGAUACCCGCGUAGUCCCUGUCUCUUAUACA